rnacentral:misc_RNA from 1 species
AACAAAAGAAGAAUGUUUAUC